GCAGCUGUGGCGGAAUUGGUAGACGCACUAGAUUCAGGUUCUAGCGGGGAAACCCAUACAGGUUCCACUCCUGCCAACUGCACCA
rnacentral:tRNA from 1 species